rnacentral:misc_RNA from 1 species
GAACACUUUGUACGAUUUUCGUGCCCAUCCCCUUGUAAAAUCCAUGAAAGCCUUCAUAGCGUAUAAUCUUCAUCAGAGCAUCAAGUGUACCUUUAUAUUGAUGUCUUUUAUCUGCACCCACGUCCUGCUUUGCCUGGAGUCUUGACUUGAUAACCAGAAGAGGAUAUGUUACUACUGUAGCUCCAAGUUUUGCCACAGCUCCAAGUAGAAAUAUUUCCAAAGCAGUGACAUCAUUGGCACCUUUGUUGCUAGAGGCACGUCGUUUUCU